rnacentral:lncRNA from 1 species
UGGAUUCCUUUUAUGGGACCGAUCGCGGAUUGACUGCGAGUAGUGAGACUAGAGCUGAGAUUGUGGAGCUUAUUACGCAGCUUGAGGCCAAGAAUCCAACUGCUGCACCCACUGAGGCCUUGACUCUGCUCAACGGAAAGUGGAUUCUCGCGUAAGUUUCUUGUUCUGUUGCUCUUGCUCACAAAUUUUCUUUCAGUAUUUAGAAUACAAUUAUGGAAUUGGAGGUCAGUUCAGCCUUGACAUGCUUUGAUCCAUCAAAUAUCUUAUCAACUGCUCGAUCACGAUGAUGUGAAUCAGAAUUCCACAGUUUAACUUUUCCUGUUGUUCUGUGAUGAUAUUGAAUUAUCCCUUCUGUGAAAAAAUUUGAUCUUGUUGUAAUUUUCUUAUGAGAAAUUCUCACACUGUUUUAAGAAACUGUCAUCAUUCUUUUGUUUUGGGAACUUGAGAGAACUAGGAUAGAACAGAUACAAACUCACAUAGCCUAAGAACGUUCCUUUGUUUUGCGAAGUAGGUGACAACUUACAGACUCUCCGGAAACCAUCAUUUUUUUCAUCUAAUUGUGCUCUAGCAAGUAUUAUUUAACUUAAAUGUGGGAAUAAGGAUUGUGCUCUCAUUUUAAUGCCUGUUUCGCCUCACUUUAGAAGUAUGUUGUUAAAUAAACUUUAAUAUAGCCUAGAUUUUAUUAUUCUUAGAAUUUUUUUAAUAGGAAUACACCCUAACUGGUCCUAAUUGCUUUAAGUCCAAUAACCAUCGAUUUGGGCCACCUUAUUUAGAACCGACCCUUGGGCGAAUAGGUUAUUAAAAUAAUCUAGCAUAUGUUUGCUAUAAAGACUUUGAUUUGGCAGCAGGCUAUUACAUAAUCUUUUAUCGGGUUAUUUGCUCAAGGAAAUCAUUAUAUUUCAAUCCAGGCUUUCCUAGGACUUUACUCAUUUUAUUCUCUCUGUUGGGACUCAUAUAUACAGUCACUGUUCUCCUGCAGGUACACUUCUUUUUCAGGUUUGUUUCCCUUGCUUUCAAGGGGUAGGCUGCCAUUGGUAAAGGUGGAGGAAAUAUCACAGACAAUCGAUUCAGAGAAUUUCACUGUUCAGAAUUCUGUCCAGUUUUCCGGGCCACUAGCUACCACUUCUAUCUCCACAAAUGCCAAAUUUGAAGUGCGAAGCCCCAAGCGGGUGCAGGUUUGUUUCCACUUUUCCCAUAUUAUGCCCUAUUUGAUUUUAUUAAAAGGUAAGACAUGGGUCUUAUUUAUUCAUGAAUCUGUUUUGUAUAGAUCAAGUUUGAAGAAGGUGUCAUUGGGACUCCCCAGCUCACGGACUCCAUAGUAAUACCGGAAAAUGUGGAAUUUCUGGGACAAAAGAUUGACCUCACACCCCUUAAGGGCAUAUUAACCUCUGUCCAAGACACAGCAUCAUCAGUUGCAAAGACCAUUUCAAGCCAGCCGCCAUUGAAGUUUCCAAUCUCAAACACUAACGCCGAAUCAUGGCUGUUGACCACAUACCUCGACGAAGACCUUCGAAUCUCAAGGGGUGAUGGUGGCAGCGUGUUUGUUCUCAUCAAAGAAGGCAGCCCCCUCUUGAAACCUUGAACCUCGUGUAAAACUAGUACUGUUUUAUCAAUCACAAAUAAGUAAAGAAAAGUAGAAAGUGCUUUUUAAUGUAUUACUGU